CUUAAGUACCAGAGGCCAAAAAGCCAGUGGAUGAAAAAGUUGCUGUUGUUUCUGUCCCAGAGAAAAAGGAACUUCCUGCUCCCAAAGAACCAGAGGAAGUUAAGAAGCCUGCUGCUGCUCCUUCACCACUGGCUGAGAAGGCUGAAGUGCCAAAGAAAGAUGAGCCCAAGCCCCAAGUUCCAGCAGAGCCCAAAAAAGUGGCACCGGCAGCUAAGCCUGAGCCUAAACCCAAGCCAGAACUGAAACAAGAACCUGAACCAAAGCCUAAAUCCACACCAGCUCCAAAACUGGAACCUGAAGCCAAGGCUGCAGCUAAGAUUGAGCCAGAGCCAGAAGCUAAGCCAGUGCCAGUAAAGAAGCCAGUGACACCACCAUCCAAAGUACCAGAGACACCACCAAAGAAGGAGGUGGUUGCACCACCACCACCACCACCACCACCUCCUACACUCCCACAUAAAGUGGAGAGAGAGGAAGAGGCACCACAGCAGAAGCCUGUGGCAGUUAAAGGUACCUGAAACUCAGUCAUCUCAAAGCUCAUCACAUUAAAACCUAAACUCUUA
rnacentral:lncRNA from 1 species